CCAAUUCUUUGUGUCUUAUGACACAAAGUCUUGUGAAUCGGAUAAUUCAGCCAGCUUGAGUCGUUUCCUCGCCAGCCUGGCUUUUCACCUGAGGGACUAGGUUUGCUGAUCCUGCCCAGGUUAAAAUGACUGAAAAUCAAUGUGGUUUGACAGCUGUGGGAAAAAAAUAAAUAAAUGGAUGUACAGACUGUUGAGCAACAAAGACUCUUCAAGUGGAUACGAAGUGAGGCACAAAAAGAAACUGUUGUCUCUUAUCUUCCUUACAGGCUCUUGAUUCAUGGCCAGUCACAGCCCUGUCUGAUAGGGUUGGCCUGACUCUUCCAUGGUGUUUUCCAUCUCCUCUCUGAUGAGCACAUUCUGCUCAGGAAGAAGUCACAGGAGGGCUGCUCAACUCCCCUGUCCUUGGCUGGCUGAGCUGGGCACAAACAGGAGCUCACCCAUGACUGUUGCUCUCCAGCAGUGCUCAGCAGCUCC
rnacentral:lncRNA from 1 species